UUCUCCACUGUCAAUUAACAGGGUGACAGUGGGCCCACAACAAAUCAACUAAAAUUCAUUGGAGUGUGCCAGAUAAACAUAUCUUUGUAACGCAACAAAGGAGACAUUUAUAAAGUAAUAUGUAUGUAUAUGUACGUAGGUAUAUUUUUGAAAUUAAAUUUGGUGUUUAAGCUUUUUAUUGCCUGAUUAAAAUACAACAUGACAAUUGGUCUUAAAAUUGGUAGAAACCUUUGAUUGCAGAGGAUAAUUUGCUGAUAAAUAUCAAAUAAGGUGGAAAUAUAGAACAAUUCUUAAGAAUAAUAAAUGGAUCUCCAGGCAAAAACCCCAUGAUGAUGCACUGGCCAUUAAACUGCUGGACACCCACUUGACCUGUCAUUUAGAACAGAGAUGGACUUGUGAUUCCACCCGCAUUUCAUGGUUACCUCGGACAAUAUUUGCCUAUUAUCCACUUAGGAUACAUUUCCAAUAAAGUUAGAUGUAACGCACAGAAGGGAGCAU